rnacentral:rRNA from 1 species
AGAGUUUGAUCCUGGCUCAGAAUCAACGCUGGCGGCGUGCCUAACACAUGCAAGUCGCACGAGAAAGGGACUUCGGUCCUGAGUACAGUGGCGCACGGGUGAGUAACACGCGAAUCAUCUACCUUCGAGUGGGGAAUAACUGAGAGAAAUCUUAGCUAAUACCGCAUAAUACCUACGGGUCAAAGCAGCAAUGCGCUUGAAGAGGAGUUCGCGGCAGAUUAGUUAGUUGGCGGGGUAAUGGCCCACCAAGACGAUGAUCUGUAUCCGGCCUGAGAGGGCGCACGGACACACUGGAACUGAAACACGGUCCAGACUCCUACGGGAGGCAGCAGUGGGGAAUUUUGCGCAAUGGGGGAAACCCUGACGCAGCAACGCCGCGUGGAGGAUGAAAUCCCUUGGGAUGUAAA